UACGAAGGGUGCAAGUGUUCUUCGGAAUGACUGGGCGUAAAGGGCACGUAGGCGGUGAAUCGGGUUGAAAGUGAAAUUCGCCAAAAAAGUGGCGGAAUGCUCUCGAAACCAAUUCACUUGAGUGAGACAGAGGAGAGUGGAAUUUCGUGUGUAGGGGUGAAAUCCGUAAAUAUACGAAGGAACGCCAAAAGCGAAGGCAGCUCUCUGGGUCCCUACCGACGCUGGGGGUGCGAAAGCGUGGGGAGCAAACAGG
rnacentral:rRNA from 1 species